rnacentral:rRNA from 1 species
CAGUAGCCACGGGAAUACGGAGGGUGCAAGCGUUAAUCGGAAUUACUGGGCGUAAAGCGUGCGUAGGCGGUUCGUUAAGUCUGUUGUGAAAGCCCCGGGCUCAACCUGGGAAUGGCAAUGGAUACUGGCGAGCUAGAGUGUGUCAGAGGAUGGUGGAAAUCCCGGUGUAGCGGUGAAAUGCGUAGAGAUCGGGAGGAACAUCAGUGGCGAAGGCGGCCAUCUGGGACAACACUGACGCUGAGGCACGAAAGCGUGGGGAGCAAACAGGAUUAGAUACCCCCGUAGUCCCUGUCUCUUAUAC